UGUUUAUCAUCCUGGAGCCGUUUGGAUUUAAUUUGUGAAGGAUGGAUGCACUUUUUUUGGACUUGAAGGUCGUGGACUAUUGCUGGACCCCGUAACAUUACAUUUAAUCAACAGAAAGAUCUAAAAUAUUUUCUAAAAUAUCCGAAAAUGUGUUUGUCUGAAAAACGAUGGACAUAUGCAACUCGGACAGCUUGGGGUGGUUCUCCUCUGAAGACAUUAAGAAGAAGUGGCUGGUCAGUGAUGAUUGAUAUAUCUGGUAAAUCAAGAUGGAUUACUUGGACUGCGUGUGGUGCUUAGAGAAGCAGUGAAGUGGAAAUUGACACUGGUGGUUUACUGUGAUCAAUGUGAGUUCAUUUGCUUUUGGUCUCAGCAUCAGUAGCUUCAAUGCAAUGCUGAUGUCUAAUCUCUUCUAAGCAUAUUGAACAUGAGAGAGCUGGUAUCUUAAAGGACAGAUCUCGAUUCGGUGUCACUCCAAGCAGACCAGAAGAAACAUCGUGAGAGAAUCCCAAAAACAAAAAGAAAGUAAUAUAAUUUUUCAUACCGAAAAUAAAACCAGUUUUUAGGAUCAUAAAUGUUUCUUGUACUGUGACACCUCAUCUGCAUUAUUUUAGCCUUGUUAUGGUAAAGCACUAGUAUUUAAAUUGUUCAUGCAUCAUGGUUGUAUUUUCUGUGUUGCCUUUAAGAUUAUGCUGAUUAAAAACAAUAUUUACUUUA